rnacentral:rRNA from 1 species
AUACGUAGGGAGCGAGCGUUGUCCGGAUUUACUGGGUGUAAAGGGUGCGUAGGCGGCUCUGCAAGUCAGGUGUGAAAACCAUCGGCUUAACUGAUGGACUGCAUUUGAAACUGUGGAGCUUGAGUGGAGUAGAGGCAGACGGAAUUCCCGGUGUAGCGGUGAAAUGCGUAGAGAUCGGGAGGAACACCAGUGGCGAAGGCGGUUUGCUGGGCUUUAACUGACGCUGAGGCACGAUAGCAUGGGUAGCAAACAGGAUUAGAUACCCUGGUAGUCCAUGCCGUAAACGAUGAUUACUAGGUGUGGGGGGUCUGACCCCCUCCGUGCCGGAGUUAACACAAUAAGUAAUCCACCUGGGAAGUACGUCCGCAAGGUUGAA